rnacentral:rRNA from 1 species
AUGGCCGACCCGAGACCGUUCACCAACGUCGAUCCUGCGAUGGCGCCCGCAUUGCGGCGCAAUGGCUAUGACCCGCACAAGGUGGACCAAUUUGUGGAGCACGUGCUAGCGUACAUCUACACCCUCGUCCACCGCCCGCCAUUCACUGACAACGGCCGACUCACGGCCUUCGCCACCUCCACCGACGGCGUCGACUGCAUCAGCAGCCUCCCCGACGAGCUCCUGCGAAACAUCAUCGCUCGCCUCCCCGACGAGCUCCUGCGAAACAUCAUCGCUCGCCUCCCCAUCAAGGACGUCAUGCGCACCGUUGUGCACUCCACCUGCUGGCGCACGCUCUGGUGCUCCAUGCCUCUCAUCCUUAGCGAUGCCCACCUCCUCCCGGAUGGCCAUGGCUGGCCUCCUACGCGCGCCAACUCCCCGGCCAUCACCGCGGCCGUGUCCCGCAUCCUCAAAUCGCACUCGGGGCCCUUCCAUUGCGUCAAUCUCGUCUACAGCCACAUGAAUGCCUACCUUGACCAGCUUGCACGGUGGAUCCAGCUCCUCGCCGCCAAGGGUGUCCAAUAUCUCGUCCUCGUCAAUCGACCGUGGCCGCAAGACCUGCCCCUCCCCGCCACUCUCUUCAGCGUCAGCACCCUCACCAGCCUCUACAUCGGCUUCGGAAAAUUACUGAGCAUGGACGUCAUGCGUGGUGUCUCCUUUGACAACCUUGUCGAGCUCAGCAUAUGCAGCGUUGAAAUGGAGCACAACGCCAUCGAGUCCCUCAUCGUCAGGAGCCCUGUCCUGGAGAUCCUCAACAUCGAGGGAUGCCGCAGGGAGCGGCGUCUAUGCCUCGUUAGCCAAAGCCUACGCUGA